AAUCAACGCUGGCGGCGUGCCUCAGACAUGCAAGUCGAACGAUUAAACUUUCCUUCGGGAAAGAUAUAAAGUGGCGCACGGGUGAGUAACACGUAAGUAAUCUACCUUCGAGUGGGGAAUAACGUCCGGAAACGGACGCUAAUACCGCAUAAUGCAGCGGCAUCGCAAGAUGACAGUUGUUAAAGGAAUUUAUUUCGCUUGAAGAGGAGCUUGCGGCAGAUUAGCUUGUUGGAAGGUAACGGCUUACCAAGGCUACGAUCUGUAACCGGUCUAAGAGGACGGUCGGUCACACUGACACUGAAUAACGGGUCAGACUCCUACGGGAGGCAGCAGUCGGGAAUUUUGGCAAUGGGCAAAGCCUGACCCAGCAACGCCGCGUGAAGGAUGAAGUAUUUCGGUAUGUAAACUUCGAAAGAAUAGGAAGAAUAAAUGAC
rnacentral:rRNA from 1 species